CAAGUCCUCAAACGAAAGGCUGGUUGACUGAAGCUGUUUGAUUUGAUCAUCUCUCUCCUCCACUGUAAACUCUAGAGCACUGCAGUUAGUCUGAAGCUCCCAGUAGCUGUCACGAAGUCCCUAGAGACGUUCUUGCAUAAGAUGGUUAACUAUCACCGCCUCCAAGCUCAAACUCAUGGAUCAAAAAAUCAAAUCAUAAUCGCUCUCAGGCUCAAGCCGAGCUCAAUCCUUAGGAAGAGUCAACUUCCUUCUAAGCAGCUCUGCUAGUGGGAGAUUCUUGGCUAUUUGGGUUUGCUUCCUCAAAAUGGCAUCUAGCCCACUGGCACUUGGUGUUGUGGCGGGG
rnacentral:misc_RNA from 1 species